GGGUGCGAGCGUGGUCCGGAAUCACUGGGCGUAAAGGGCGCGUAGGCGGCUGGGGAAGUCGGCGGUGAAAGCCCGGAGCUCAACUCCGGGUCGGCCGUCGAGACUCCUCGGCUCGAGCUCACUAGAGGCAGAUGGAAUUCCGGGUGUAGCGGUGGAAUGCGUAGAGAUCCGGAAGAACACCGGUGGCGAAGGCGGUCUGCUGGGGUGAGGCUGACGCUGAGGCGCGACAGCGUGGGGAGCAAACAGG
rnacentral:rRNA from 1 species